CUACGGGGUGCUCCAGUGAGGAAUAUUGCACAAUGGGGGGAACCCUGAUGCAGCAACGCCGCGUGGAGGAUGACGCAUUUCGGUGUGUAAACUCCUUUUAUAUGUCAAGAAAAUGACGGUAGCAUAUGAAUAAGCACCGGCUAACUCCGUGCCAGCAGCCGCGGUAAUACGGAGGGUGCAAGCGUUACUCGGAAUCACUGGGCGUAAAGGAAGCGUAGGCGGGUUGGAAAGUCAGGUGUGAAAUCCUACAGCUUAACUGUAGAACUGCACUUGAAACUUCUCAUCUAGAGUAUGGGAGGGGGAGAUGGAAUUAGUGGUGUAGGGGUAAAAUCCGUAGAUAUCACUAGGAAUACCUAAAGCGAAGGCGAUCUCCUGGAACAUUACUGACGCUAAGGCGUGAAAGCGUGGGGAGCAAACAGGAUUAGAUACCCUCGUAGUC
rnacentral:rRNA from 1 species